GUAAAAAUUACGUGUCUACAAUAUCAACUGGUUGUUCAUGAGUAGAUAUGUAGUUGGUUGCCACCAUUGGUUGAGUUAUUUUCCCCCUUAUGAAAUGACAGUCAAUUUCUAUAUGCUUGGUUCUUUCAUGAUACACAGGGUUUGCUACAAUUUGAAUGGCAGCCUUGCUAUCAUAAAAAAUCUCAACGGGUUGAUUAUUGUCAAUACCUAGUUCUUUAAGUAAUCCCAGUAGCUAAAUGAUUUCAGAUACAGUUGAGGCAAUGCUCCUGUACUCUGAUUCUGUAGAGCUUCUUGACAUAGUUGUCGUUGUUUUUUUUUUUUAAAUUUCCAAGUAAUGAGAGAAUCCCCUAGUUUGAUGAGAUAUCAUGUCAUUGAUUUCCUAGAUGUAGGGCAGGCAACCCAAUCUGCAUCAUAAUAUGCAGUUAGAAUUGGCUUAGAAGUGCCGGAUAAUAGAACAACUUGUCCUGGUUGGUUCUUUAAGUAUCUGAUGAUCCUUAAAACAACUUCCAUAUGACGCUCAGGUUGUUGUAGGAAUUGGCUGAGGGUUUGAACACUGAAUGAGAUGUCAGGUCUAGUCAUGGUUAAGUAGAGGAAUUUGCUAAUGAUACUCUGAUGAAGACCUUGAUCAGCUAGUGGAUCAUUCACUAUUUGUUGUUCAUCACUUAGAAGAUCAUUAUACUGUUUGGUGGUCAUUUUUACAUUGGUGUCAAUGGGAGUAACUGCUGGUUUUGCAGCAGACAAACCAGUUUUUGAUAGUAGUUCCAACACAUAUUUCCUUUAAUGCAUAAGAAUUCCUUUGUUUGACCUAGCAAAUUCAAUCCCAAGGAAGUAUUUCAAUUCACCAAGGUCUUUCAUUUUGAAAGCUUUUUGCAGAGUUUCUUUGAUGUUCUGAAUCAUUUUUAGGCUGCUCCCUGUUAUAAGCAUGUCAUCCACAUAAACAAGGACAACAGUGACCCCUUCAGUAGUCUUUUUAGUGAAUAAAAAUUGAUCAUAUUGACUCUGCUGAAAUUUGGCUUUCAAUAGUGCUUCUGUAAGUUUGGCAUUCCAUUGCCUUGGGGCCUGUUUUAAUCCAUACAAGGAUUUAAUGAGUCUACUUACCUUGUUCUCCCCCUGACUUUUGAAUCCUUGCGGGAGUUCCAUAUAAAUUUCAUCAUAAAGAUCACCUUAUAGAAAGGCAUUAUAGACAUCCAUUUGAUGUACAUGCCACUGCUUCAUAACAACUAGUGAAAAUACUAUUCUUACAGUUUUCAUCUUGAUUACAUGUGAGAAUGUUUCUUGAUAGUCUAUUCCUUUCUUUUAGCUAUAACCUUUGGCUACUAAAAUAGCCUUAAACCUUUCUGUUUCCCCAGAUGCCUUGUAUUUGAUCUUAUAGAUCCAUUUGCAUCCAAUAGGACUUUUUCCUUGUGGUAAAGUGACUGUCUCCCAUGUAUGGUUACUUUCAAGUACUUCUAUUUCUGCUUUCAUGGAAUCCAACCACCUAGGAUCUUUGAUUGCCUCAUGGUAGGAUGAUGGUUCAGUAAUAUUGGAGGAUGAUGCUAUAUGUGCUUGAUAUGUAGGAGAAAUGCUAUUAUGGGGUAGGUACUUGGAAGUGUAUAUGGUUGAUCAUGAUGGAUACUUAGAGAGACAAAAUCCUUCAUCCAAGUUGGUGGUUUUCUUCCUCUAUGUGAUUGGUUGGCUGGUAUUUUUGUAGGUUGUUGAACUGGUUAUGGUAUUUGUUCAAUUUCUGGAUGUUGAACUUGAUUUUGAGUGACUUGUAUCUGAGUGUUACGUACCGUAUUUUUAUACAUUGGGACAACCCGGAUUAACUAUGACAAUUAAGGGCCAAGACUAUUCCGGGAUUUGACGUCGGGACUUUUGACCAUUUGAUUUUAUUUUGAGACAUAAGUUGAAUAUGAAAUUGAUGGCAUUGGACACUUAGGAAAAAUUGGGACCACAAUUCAUAAAAAUGGAAUUUAAAAGUCUUGCACCAAAAGCCAUGGUGGCCGUGUGGACUUGAAAUGGUCCCACACAUUGUGUGGCCAAUUUUAAUUGGUCCAACACAUGUGUGGGCCAUAAACAAAGGGAGAUAUUUGUGGAUACAAAAAAAAAAAAGAAGACUAAGUCAUCUUUCUCAUUUCCCACUUCUACACUUAGAGAAAAAUAACAAGACUUGGAGAGCCUCCACUCCCCCAUGGUUCUCAGCCACAACCAAGAAAAAUCAAGUCCCAUUUUUGCCUCUCUAAAAUUAUUUCUUUGGUAUAAACCCACUAUUUGGAGGUCCCUAAGUAGCGUGGAAGUAUUGUUUGGGUCAUUCAACCACUCAUUUUGCCCAUUUACAAACCCUAGCCUAUUGGUGGAUUGAAGAAUAAAGGUGAGUUCUAAUCUUGUUUUUGGAGUUAUAAAUGUUGUAUGCAUAUUGUAGUAUGCUAAAAUGGAUAAAAAUCAUGAAAUAUGGAAUGUUGAAGUUGGGUCUUGUGUUGGGUGUGUUGACCGUGUGAAGUAUAUGUGUGUGGUGUGGUAUUGGGUUGAUGAAUUAAUUGCUUGUAGCAUAUUGAUUGUCGUAGAGUGGAGAAGAGAAUAAAAAUCAUCGAUACAUGUAUAUGUGUAGUGUAGCCGUGUAUAUAGCCUCCAAAUGGUAGCAAAGAAUGAAUUAAUAUCGCUUAGCGUCGUAAUGGUUGUUGUGAUGAUUUGUAUGUUGGAAAUGAGAGUUAAAUGUCCCGAAUUGAUAUAGUAAGCGUUGCGGACUGAUUUGGAGAACUUUGUGCAUUUAAUGCAAUCCUUAUAUAUGAGAACCAUUAACAUAUGAAUAUGUGUAGUGUGAAUGAAUGUGAGUCAUAGAUUAUGCCGAAUAUCGCAUUAUUAUCGCUUAAGCGCUUUCGUGUCGUCGUUACGAAUUUUAGUUUGGAAUUGAGCAUUUAAUGACUUAAGAUUGAUGUUGAGAUUGUACGGGCUGAUUUGAGGGUUAUUGUGCGUUGAUGUAAUUUGUAUAUUUUAUGAAAAUGGUAUCGUUAUAUUGUGAAUUGUGAUACAAAACAUGAAUUGAAAGUCGGAAGUGUGCCCAGUGGGCUGCUCACGGGUAGGGGCUGUUUUCGGCCAAAAAUUUGGAGAAAUUGUGGAUUGUUGGAAAAAUUAUGUGAAUUGUUUAGAAUGUUCUUGAAUGUUGUUAGUAUGGGUUUGGGUUAAUAAUCGAAUGUACGAACGAUAUUGUGGCUUGAAAGUAAGCCAUUGAAUUGAAUAAUUGGAAAGUUGUCGAAUGGUGUAAAAGAGAGCUACUAUUAUUAUUUUGCCUUUCGAAUUGAUUAUCGAUGUUGCUAGGUUGGUUAUUGUGGUUGUUGUUGUUGAUUUUGAGCGAGUUAAAUUCUCGGGAUGACCUAUUUAUAGGGGAAAUGCUGCCGAAUUGUCUGUAGAAUUUAAUGUUAGUUGGAAUAAAUGGCUUAAGUGCCUAUGUUUAAUAUUGGAUAUUCGUUGGCAUAUUUGUAGACCUUGGGGAGCCCGAGGCGUAGAUUGGAAUUUACUUUAUAUUGGCCAUCUUGGAGUGCGUACGAGACCUUGGGGAGCCCGAGGCGUAGAUUGGAAUUUACUUUAUAUUGGCCAUCUUGGAGUGCGUACGAGGUAUGUAAAGCAACCUCCCUUCUUUUUGGCAUGUCUUAGUUUUACAUAGGCUAGAUUAGAGCCUUAAGGAAAUUCCAAAUCCGAAAUCCGAGCAUGAUAUGAUCUAUAUAUGUUCCUUGGCACUCUUAUGUAUGAUUUGAUGAAAUAUGAACCUUUAUGUAUUUGAAAUAAUCGCUUUCCAAACUUUGCGCAAAAAGGUUUCACUUUAAAGAACUUCGGAAUUUCUGAAUGCCAUACAUUUCACAUAAAUGCUCGGAUUACUCCAAUAUUUUUAUAAAAGUUUGCAUUAUGUAUGAUACGUAUGUUUUUCAUAGGCGGGCCCGACUUGGGUAAAUACCCGUCCGUGGGUCCCGCGACUUUCCUUUAUGUAAUUCAGAGAAUCUUUGAAAGAAUUUGGUAUGAUUAUUAUUCCGAUUUCAAAUA